rnacentral:rRNA from 1 species
UUAAGCGACUAAGCGUACACGGUGGAUGCCCUGGCAGUCAGAGGCGAUGAAGGACGUGCUAAUCUGCGAAAAGCGUCGGUAAGGUGAUAUGAACCGUUACAGCCGGCGAUGUCCGAAUGGGGAAACCCAGUGUGAUUCGUCACACUAUCGUUAACUGAAUACAUAGGUUAACGAGGCGAACCGGGGGAACUGAAACAUCUAAGUACCCCGAGGAAAAGAAAUCAACCGAGAUUCCCCCAGUAGCGGCGAGCGAACGGGGAGCAGCCCAGAGUCUGAAUCAGCUUGUGUGUUAGUGGAACGGUCUGGAAAGUCCGACGGUACAGGGUGAUAGUCCCGUACACCAAAAUGCACAGGUUGUGAACUCGAAGAGUAGGGCGGGACACGUGGUAUCCUGUCUGAAUAUGGGGGGACCAUCCUCCAAGGCUAAAUACUCCUGACUGACCGAUAGUGAACCAGUACCGUGAGGGAAAGGCGAAAAGAACCCCGGCGAGGGGAGUGAAAAAGAACCUGAAACCGUGUACGUACAAGCAGUGGGAGCACCUUCGGGUGUGACUGCGUACCUUUUGUAUAAUGGGUCAGCGACUUAUAUUCUGUAGCAAGGUUAACCGUAUAGGGGAGCCGCAGGGAAACCGAGUCUUAACUGGGCGUUAAGUUGCAGGGUAUAGACCCGAAACCCGGUGAUCUAGCCAUGGGCAGGUUGAAGGUUGGGUAACACUAACUGGAGGACCGAACCGACUAAUGUUGAAAAAUUAGCGGAUGACUUGUGGCUGGGGGUGAAAGGCCAAUCAAACCGGGAGAUAGCUGGUUCUCCCCGAAAGCUAUUUAGGUAGCGCCUCGUGAAUUCAUCUUCGGGGGUAGAGCACUGUUUCGGCUAGGGGGUCAUCCCGACUUACCAACCCGAUGCAAACUACGAAUACCGAAGAAUGUUAUCACGGGAGACACACGGCGGGUGCUAACGUCCGUCGUGAAGAGGGAAACAACCCAGACCGCCAGCUAAGGUCCCAAAGUCACAGUUAAGUGGGAAACGAUGUGGGAAGGCACAGACAGCCAGGAUGUUGGCUUAGAAGCAGCCAUCAUUUAAAGAAAGCGUAAUAGCUCACUGGUCGAGUCGGCCUGCGCGGAAGAUGUAACGGGGCUAAACUGUGCACCGAAGCUGCGGCAGCGACACUAUGUGUUGUUGGGUAGGGGAGCGUUCUGUAAGCCUGCGAAGGUGGCCUGUGAGGGUUGCUGGAGGUAUCAGAAGUGCGAAUGCUGACAUAAGUAACGAUAAUGCGGGUGAAAAGCCCGCACGCCGGAAGACCAAGGGUUCCUGUCCAACGUUAAUCGGGGCAGGGUGAGUCGACCCCUAAGGCGAGGCCGAAAGGCGUAGUCGAUGGGAAACAGGUUAAUAUUCCUGUACUUGGUGUUACUGCGAAGGGGGGACGGAGAAGGCUAUGUUAGCCGGGCGACGGUUGUCCCGGUUUAAGCAUGUAGGCGGAGGUUCCAGGUAAAUCCGGUACCUUUUUAACGCUGAGGUGUGAUGACGAGGCACUACGGUGCUGAAGUAACAAAUGCCCUGCUUCCAGGAAAAGCCUCUAAGCAUCAGGUAACAUUAAAUCGUACCCCAAACCGACACAGGUGGUCAGGUAGAGAAUACCAAGGCGCUUGAGAGAACUCGGGUGAAGGAACUAGGCAAAAUGGUGCCGUAACUUCGGGAGAAGGCACGCUGAUAUGUAGGUGAAGCCCCUGCGGGUGGAGCUGAAAUCAGUCGAAGAUACCAGCUGGCUGCAACUGUUUAUUAAAAACACAGCACUGUGCAAACACGAAAGUGGACGUAUACGGUGUGACGCCUGCCCGGUGCCGGAAGGUUAAUUGAUGGGGUUAUCCGUAAGGAGAAGCUCUUGAUCGAAGCCCCGGUAAACGGCGGCCGUAACUAUAACGGUCCUAAGGUAGCGAAAUUCCUUGUCGGGUAAGUUCCGACCUGCACGAAUGGCGUAAUGAUGGCCAGGCUGUCUCCACCCGAGACUCAGUGAAAUUGAACUCGCUGUGAAGAUGCAGUGUACCCGCGGCAAGACGGAAAGACCCCGUGAACCUUUACUAUAGCUUGACACUGAACAUUGAGCCUUGAUGUGUAGGAUAGGUGGGAGGCUUUGAAGCGUGGACGCCAGUCUGCGUGGAGCCAACCUUGAAAUACCACCCUUUAAUGUUUGAUGUUCUAACGUUGGCCCCUGACCGGGGUUGCGGACAGUGUCUGGUGGGUAGUUUGACUGGGGCGGUCUCCUCCCAAAGAGUAACGGAGGAGCACGAAGGUUAGCUAAUCCUGGUCGGACAUCAGGAGGUUAGUGCAAUGGCAUAAGCUAGCUUGACUGCGAGCGUGACGGCGCGAGCAGGUGCGAAAGCAGGUCAUAGUGAUCCGGUGGUUCUGAAUGGAAGGGCCAUCGCUCAACGGAUAAAAGGUACUCCGGGGAUAACAGGCUGAUACCGCCCAAGAGUUCAUAUCGACGGCGGUGUUUGGCACCUCGAUGUCGGCUCAUCACAUCCUGGGGCUGAAGUAGGUCCCAAGGGUAUGGCUGUUCGCCAUUUAAAGUGGUACGCGAGCUGGGUUUAGAACGUCGUGAGACAGUUCGGUCCCUAUCUGCCGUGGGCGCUGGAGAAUUGAGGGGGGCUGCUCCUAGUACGAGAGGACCGGAGUGGACGCAUCACUGGUGUUCGGGUUGUCAUGCCAAUGGCAUUGCCCGGUAGCUAAAUGCGGAAGAGAUAAGUGCUGAAAGCAUCUAAGCACGAAACUUGCCCCGAGAUGAGUUCUCCCUGAGACUUUAAGUCUCCUGAAGGAACGUUAAAGACGAUGACGUUGAUAGGUCGGGUGUGUAAGCGUAGCGAUACGUUGAGCUAACCGAUACUAAUGAACCGUGAGGCUUAACCU